rnacentral:pre_miRNA from 1 species
AAACCGCCUCCUAAGUUUUGCAACUAUAGCAGUUUUGGCCUCUCAAGAUCAAUUUUUUGUAUAAAAAAAAAUAAAAUAAAUAACCCGUGGCACCUCACUUAGGGUGCCACGUCAACGUAGACUGAGUCAAAAUUGGCCUUGGGGACCAAAACUGCCACAGAUGCAAAACUUAAGGGACGGUUU